UACGGAGGGGGCAAGCGUUGUUCGGAAUCACUGGGUGUAAAGGGUGCGUAGGCGGUCCGUUAAGUCUGAUGUGAAAGCCCCGGGCUUAACCUGGGAAUGGCAGUGGAAACUGGAGGACUUGAAUUGAGCAGAGGGGGGUGGAAUGCCGCGUGUAGCAGUGAAAUGCGUAGAGAUGCGGCGGAACACCGGUGGCGAAGGCAGCCCCCUGGGCUUAAAUUGACGCUGAGGCACGAAAGCGUGGGGAGCAAACAGG
rnacentral:rRNA from 1 species